CAGAGUUGGUUUGCAACGUA
rnacentral:siRNA from 1 species